rnacentral:rRNA from 1 species
GACGAACGCUGGCGGCGUGCUUAACACAUGCAAGUCGAACGGAAAGGCCCUGCUUUUGUGGGGUGCUCGAGUGGCGAACGGGUGAGUAACACGUGAGUAACCGGCCCUGACCUUGGGGUAAACUUCGGGAAACUGGGCCAAUACCCGGAUAGGAGCUCUGGCGCCUUGGGGGGGGUGGGAAAGUUUCGGCGGUUGGGGAUGGACUCGCGGCUUAUCAGCUUGUUGGUGGGGUAGUGGCUUACCAAGGCUUUGACGGGUAGCCGGCCUGAGAGGGUGACCGGCCACAUUGGGACUGAGAUACGGCCCAGACUCCUACGGGAGGCAGCAGUGGGGAAUAUUGCACAAUGGGCGGAAGCCUGAUGCAGCAACGCCGCGUGCGGGAUGACGGCCUUCGGGUUGUAAACCGCUUUCGCCUGUGACGAAGCGUGAGUGACGGUAAUGGGUAAAGAAGCACCGGCUAACUACGUG